CAGUAGCCGCGGUAAUACGUAGGGGGCAAGCGUUAUCCGGAUUUACUGGGUGUAAGGGGAGCGUAGACGGAAUGGCAAGUCUGAAGUGAAAUGCCCGGGCUCAACCCGGGAACUGCUUUGGAAACUGUCGAUCUGGAGUGUUGGAGAGGUAAGUGGAAUUCCUGGUGUAGCGGUGAAAUGCGUAGAGAUCAGGAAGAAUACCGGAGGCGAAGGCGGCUUACUGGACAAAGACUGACGUUGAGGCUCGAAAGCGUGGGAAGCAAACAGGAUUAGAUACCCGAGUAGUCCAUGUCUCUUAUAA
rnacentral:rRNA from 1 species